rfam:Tupaia chinensis contig32995, whole genome shotgun sequence.
GUGCUCGCUUUGGCAGUACAUAUGCUAAGACUGAAAUGAUACUGACAAGAUUAGCAUGGCCCCUGUGCAAGGAUGACACAUAAAUUCGUGAAGCAUUCCAUAUUUUG